UACGUAGGGUGCAAGCGUUAAUCGGAAUUACUGGGCGUAAAGCGUGCGCAGGCGGUGAUGUAAGACCGAUGUGAAAUCCCCCGGGCUUAACCUGGGAACUGCAUUGGUGACUGCAUCGCUAGAGUAUGGCAGAGGGGGGUGGAAUUCCACGUGUAGCAGUGAAAUGCGUAGAGAUGUGGAGGAACACCGAUGGCGAAGGCAGCCCCCCUGGGCCAAUACUGACGCUCAUGCACGAAAGCGUGGGGAGCAAACAGG
rnacentral:rRNA from 1 species